UACACCUAGGCAGUGAGCUUGUGGGGCAGGAUUGAUUGUCAAGUUCUCAACAGAAAUAGAGAUAUCAGCCCGUCUGCGGUGCUGCUCCCAAGAUGACGCCGCAUUCGGUACACGUGACCAAAAGACUGGCAGAGCUCGAGGACGGCACUUCCGUCAGACAUCAAGGGAAGUGCGGCGGAGUUCCGGACCGGCGUGCAGCAGCGGGCAUGGGAGUGCGGGAUUGUCAACAAACUUCAUGAAAAUGGCCGCCGCAAUGAGUGACAGCUUCCCCUUCCAAUAAAGUAAAGGGAACAGCCGAGUACCAUCCCCAUAGGAAGUGGGGCAUCUUCCACUAGAAGCAACGGACGGAAGUGGGGAACAUUCAUCGUGUACGCGAAACCGGAAGAGCGGCUUGACGCGCAUGCGCACACUGUCGGUGCGGACGCCGGAAGCGGGGCGGAAAUGACGCGGGACGCGUCCUGGACCUUUCAAAACGAAAAAAACAGCUUUCUAAGACUCGUUUUUCGGAAAAAACGACACCACAGGACUUACUUUCACAGCCUCUUAAGCACACUUAUGUUUAUAUUAAGAAUUGUGCAACACUAUGCUUUUUGAUUUCUAACAGGAAGUGAUGUCAUAAUUAACUAUGAACACAUGAUACCUGCUAUAAAUACUACCCUUGUUCAUUUGUACCCUACCCCUUGAUGAAGUCUGAUGGACGAAACGCGUUGGGUGUACCUCUGAAUUGACCCUCCAUUUUAAAAGAUAAGCAUUGCGUUUUUAUCUUUUUAGAAUAUUGAUGUUUUUUAUUCUCAUAUUUUGUGUAUCCGUAUUUUUUAAAGAAUCUUUUAUGGUGUAUUCUCAAACUAUGCCCUAUGCUUGUAAACUUUU